rnacentral:sRNA from 1 species
AAAAUGAGUAAGAAAAUCCAAGUAUUUUAGGGUAUCCAUGAGUUCAAAUUCGAUGCCAAGACAUGAUAAUUCUAAAUCAGAUUCAAGUUCAAAUUGAUAGGGAAUGGUAUCAGAUCCUAACAGUGUGGUUGAGUAGAGCAAUCUAGGCAUGGUGCAGUUUUACUUCAAUUUCAAUGACUACGCAUCAGACAACUAACAACGAGGGCACUGAGCUUAUCUGGUGAACCAAAAUGCUUACAAGGCUAUCUCAUCAUUAUCCCCUAUGCAUAUGCAACAAUCCUAAACGAAACACUCUAGAUUCGAUCCUAAAUGCAAUGCAACUACAUGAACACUCUAUUUUUGUGAAAUCAUUUUCUGAAAUUUUUC